UGGGGAAUAUUGCACAAUGGGCGCAAGCCUGAUGCAGCCAUGCCGCGUGUAUGAAGAAGGCCUUCGGGUUGUAAAGUACUUUCAGUCGGGAGGAAGGUGGUAAGGUUAAUAACCUUAUCAAUUGACGUUACCGACAGAAGAAGCACCGGCUAACUCCGUGCCAGAAGCCGCGGUAAUACGGAGGGUGCAAGCGUUAAUCGGAAUUACUGGGCGUAAAGCGCACGCAGGCGGUUGAUUGAGUCAGAUGUGAAAUCCCCGGGCUUAACCCGGGAAUUGCAUCUGAUACUGGUCAGCAAGAGUCUUGUAGAGGGGGGUAGAAUUCCAUGUGUAGCGGUGAAAUGCGUAGAGAUGUGGAGGAAUACCGGUGGCGAAGGCGGCCCCCUGGACAAAGACUGACGCUCAGGUGCGAAAGCGUGGGGAGCAAACAGG
rnacentral:rRNA from 1 species